AUUGAACGCUGGCGGUAUGCCUAACACAUGCAAGUCGAACGGCAGCACAGGAAGUUCUUGCUCUUACGGGUUGGGGGAGGCGGACGUGUUAGGUAUACACAGGAAUCUACGUUUUCGUGGGGGCGGACGUAGGGAGACUUACACCACAACCGCAUACGACCUACGGGCGAAAGCACUUGAGCCUCGGACCUUGCGGGAUUGAAUGAGCCGAUGUCGGAUUAGCUAGUUGGAGGGGUAAAGGCCCACCAAGGCGACGAUCCGUAGCUGGUCUGAGAGGAUGACCAGCCACACUGGAACUGAGACACGGUCCAGACUCCUACGGGAGGCAGCAGUGGGGAAUAUUGGACAAUGGGCGCAAGCCUGAUCCAGCAAUGCCGCGUGGGUGAAGAAGGCCUUCGGGUUGUAAAGCACUUUUGUUGGGAAAGAAAAGCAGCAGGCUAAUACCGCGCUGUUCUGACGGUACCCAAAGAAUAAGCACCGGCUAACUACGUG
rnacentral:rRNA from 1 species